rnacentral:rRNA from 1 species
AUUGAACGCUGGCGGCAUGCCUAAUACAUGCAAGUCGAGCGGCAGGACGGGAUGCUUGCUGGUCUGAUGUUGGCGGCGGGCGGGUGAUUCACCCGUGGGUAACCUACCUAUAAGGAUGGGAUGACUACGGGAAGCCGGAGCUAAUACCGGAUCAUAUUUUGAACGGCGUGGUUCAAAAGGGAAAGCCGGUCUUGCUGUGCCUUAUAGGUGGUACCGCGCUGCAUUAGCUAGUUGGUAAGGUAACGGCUUACCAAGGCAACGAUGCGUAGCCGACCUGAGAGGGUGAUCGGCCACACUGGAACUGAGACACGGCCCAGACUCCUACGGGAGGCAGCAGUGGGGAAUCUUCCACAAUGGGCGCAAGCCUGACGCAGCCACGCCGCGUGAGUGAUGAAGGUCUUCGGAUUGUAAACCGCUUUUAUUAGGGAAGAACAUAUGUGUAAUUAUCCGUCCACAUCAUGACGGUACCUAAUCAGAAAGCCACGGCUAACUACGUG